AGAGUUUGAUCCUGGCUCAGGAUGAACGCUGGCGGCGUGCCUAAUACAUGCAAGUCGAGCGAACGGACGAGAAGCUUGCUUCUCUGAUGUUAGCGGCGGACGGGUGAGUAACACGUGGAUAACCUACCUAUAAGGCUGGGAUAACUUCGGGAAACCGGAGCUAAUACCGGAUAAUAUUUUGAACCGCAUGGUUCAAAAGUGAAAGACGGUCUUGCUGUCACUUAUAGAUGGAUCCGCGCUGCAUUAGCUAGUUGGUAAGGUAACGGCUUACCAAGGCAACGAUGCAUAGCCGACCUGAGAGGGUGAUCGGCCACACUGGAACUGAGACACGGUCCAGACUCCUACGGGAGGCAGCAGUAGGGAAUCUUCCGCAAUGGGCGAAAGCCUGACGGAGCAACGCCGCGUGAGUGAUGAAGGUCUUCGGAUCGUAAAACUCUGUUAUUAGGGAAGAACAUAUGUGUAAGUAACUGUGCACAUCUUGACGGUACCUAAUCAGAAAGCCACGGCUAACUACGUGCCAGCAGCCGCGGUAAUACGUAGGUGGCAAGCGUUAUCCGGAAUUAUUGGGCGUAAAGCGCGCGUAGGCGGUUUUUUAAGUCUGAUGUGAAAGCCCACGGCUCAACCGUGGAGGGUCAUUGGAAACUGGAAAACUUGAGUGCAGAAGAGGAAAGUGGAAUUCCAUGUGUAGCGGUGAAAUGCGCAGAGAUAUGGAGGAACACCAGUGGCGAAGGCGACUUUCUGGUCUGUAACUGACGCUGAUGUGCGAAAGCGUGGGGAUCAAACAGGAUUAGAUACCCUGGUAGUCCACGCCGUAAACGAUGAGUGCUAAGUGUUAGGGGGUUUCCGCCCCUUAGUGCUGCAGCUAACGCAUUAAGCACUCCGCCUGGGGAGUACGACCGCAAGGUUGAAACUCAAAGGAAUUGACGGGGACCCGCACAAGCGGUGGAGCAUGUGGUUUAAUUCGAAGCAACGCGAAGAACCUUACCAAAUCUUGACAUCCUUUGACAACUCUAGAGAUAGAGCCUUCCCCUUCGGGGGACAAAGUGACAGGUGGUGCAUGGUUGUCGUCAGCUCGUGUCGUGAGAUGUUGGGUUAAGUCCCGCAACGAGCGCAACCCUUAAGCUUAGUUGCCAUCAUUAAGUUGGGCACUCUAAGUUGACUGCCGGUGACAAACCGGAGGAAGGUGGGGAUGACGUCAAAUCAUCAUGCCCCUUAUGAUUUGGGCUACACACGUGCUACAAUGGACAAUACAAAGGGCAGCGAAACCGCGAGGUCAAGCAAAUCCCAUAAAGUUGUUCUCAGUUCGGAUUGUAGUCUGCAACUCGACUACAUGAAGCUGGAAUCGCUAGUAAUCGUAGAUCAGCAUGCUACGGUGAAUACGUUCCCGGGUCUUGUACACACCGCCCGUCACACCACGAGAGUUUGUAACACCCGAAGCCGGUGGAGUAACCUUUUAGGAGCUAGCCGUCGAAGGUGGGACAAAUGAUUGGGGUGAAGUCGUAACAAGGUAGCCGUAUCGGAAGGUGCGGCUGGAUCACCU
rnacentral:rRNA from 1 species